GGGGGCGUUUAUGGAUUCGACGGGGAUAGUUCGGGCAUGGGUAGCGGGUAGUGGGGACGCGUCCGCUUCAUCAACGCUAAAGCCAAUUAAACGGCAAACAAAACAACAACUUCGCAUUAGCAGCUUAAUAACCUGUUAGCGAGCUUCUACUCUGCAUCGCCCAUGUGCCGAGAUAGGGGCCCAACUUUAGUGGGAUACGCUGUCACAUCUCCGCCUGGGGUGUGCUGAAGAAGACAAUCAGGCUGACCCAAAGUAGAGCCGGUUACGGGGCGCUACUAGGGUGACAUCAAAACUGUGACUACACCCGUAGAAGCCUAUGUUGCGUUAUCUUCGGACAGGGGUUCGACUCCCCUCGCCUCCACCA
rnacentral:tmRNA from 1 species